rnacentral:rRNA from 1 species
ACAUCCAGAGAAUUUAGCAGAGAUGCUUAGUGCCUUCGGGAACUCUGAGACAGGUGCUGCAUGGCUGUCGUCAGCUCGUGUUGUGAAAUGUUGGGUUAAGUCCCGCAACGAGCGCAACCCUUAUCCUUUGUUGCCAGCACGUAAUGGUGGGAACUCAAAGGAGACUGCCGGUGAUAAACCGGAGGAAGGUGGGGAUGACGUCAAGUCAUCAUGGCCCUUACGAGUAGGGCUACACACGUGCUACAAUGGCGCAUACAAAGAGAAGCGACCUCGCGAGAGCAAGCGGACCUCAUAAAGUGCGUCGUAGUCCGGAUUGGAGUCUGCAACUCGACUCCAUGAAGUCGGAAUCGCUAGUAAUCGUAAAUCAGAAUGUUACGGUGAAUACGUUCCCGGGCCUUGUACACACCGCCCGUCACACCAUGGGAGUGGGUUGCAAAAGAAGUAGAUAGCUUAACCUUCGGGAGGGCGUUUACCACUUUGUGAUUCAUGACUGGGGUGAAGUCGUAACAAGGUAAGCGUAGUGCU